AGUGGCGGGGUUCUCGCCGGUCCUGCGGGUCGCUGCUUGGCUGUGGGUUAGCAGCACCCUGAGCGGAGCGGAAGAGCUGCCCGCCGCCGCGUAACCCCGAGGCCGAGACUCCUGGCCUGGCCUCCUUGGGCCCACGACGCCUGCCCCGCGGAGCGGACCCAUGGGCCUGAGGUUUGUGUGCGGGGCCUCAGGCGAGCGCUGGCGCAGCCUGUCCCCCAUCGUCUGCGCCCUGCGGGCCUGGCCCUCCCCGUGGAAGGACCGCGGGCUUCGGGGCCCCACGCUGGGGGGCUGACUCCUGCCACACACACAGCGGUGGCCGCGGGCCUGGGGCGGCAGCACAGCCAUUCUGCUCGGGCUGCGUGAGCUGACCCCGCUCUCUGUGCACCUACUUUUGCUGCGUUUGGUGCUGAGCCUGAAGUCCCAGGACAGGCGGCUGAGGGGGAAAGAUGGUGUGAAUUGGGUGGGCAGAGACAACUGAAAGCCACAGGACCCGGUUGGCACCUUUUUGGCCGCCUGCGCCUUUGCCUGCAGCCCCGCUCCCUGGGUCACCCGAAGGAGGAGCUGGCGCUCUUUCCGGGCGCAGAAGCACCCGACCCACGCUGGAGGAAACGGUCCCUCUGGGCAGGAGAAGCUUUGGGCCUGGCUGGAGCACACUCACGGAACCACGCCAACGCCUGGCCUGUAGCCAGCUCCCACCUCCCCUCCCACCUUCUAAAAUGCUUGCGGAUCUCACGUGGCCGACCCUAACCAGAUACACAUGGGGAAAGGAAUCAGGUGGCACACAUACCGCCUUUACUCCAUAGAGAACUUCCAAUUGUGGGUAAGAACAAAGCCCCACCUCUUCCUAAUAGAUGCAGUUUUCCACCUGCAGCCAAAAAGACAACCUGUUAUUAGCUUUUUUCCCAGAGGACAGGCAUCUCUAUGAAACUGCCAUUGCAAAAUUUGCCGACAGUGAGAUAACCAGCUCCAUUUUGCUUCUAACCUCCAUGCCCUCCUUGUUUACUGCUGCACGCAGGUUGAACUGUGGGAGGAACUUAGUUUAAAACAAAGAUGAUAACAGCCCUUUCCCAAAGGAAACCUUUCCUGGGGAUUAGCCUGCUUUUGUGGGACCAACAGAUUAGCCACAAGAUUAGAAACUACGGUUGAAGAGUCACGCAGCGGGAGGCUACAGGAUUCUGACCCUCCCCAAACUGCUCCUGGCGAUAACAUCACCAUCGUAAAGCCUAAGAUCAGCACUUGGUGGGUCACCUGGCACCACCCAGGCUCAUCUGAUGUUGUGGCACCCAGGAACUGACUCAGUGCGAAAACAGCUUCGACUCCCUGUGAUUUCAUCUCUGACCUGACCAAUGGGUACUUCUGACUCACUGGCUGCCCCCCACCCACCAGCUUAUCUUUAAAAACUCCAAACCCCAGAUGCUCAGGGAGACCGAGUAAUAAUAAAACUCCAGUCUCCCACACAGCUAGCUCUGCGUGAAUUACCUUUUCUCUGUUGCAAAUGCCCUUUCUUGAUAAAUUGGCUGUCUAGGUAACAGGGAAGGUGAACCCACUGGGCAGUUACACUUUUAUCCACCCUUCCAGCUGGAUCACGCGCCCUCUUCAAUGACAUGACACGCAGCUAGAGUGUAUGAGCUUGCUGCCGGCACCUUCCGUCCUGGAUCGCAUAGCAAGGCCUCAAUGGACAGCCAGGUGCCUGGUCCGGUCCCACUUUUUUUUCUGUCCUGUUCUCGUUUCCUCUUUGCUUGGCCAAAGAGGGUUGGGCCAGGGUCCUGAGUGCAAAGGCUUGGCUUGGUGAAUUAAAGUGGCAGUAGCCGUGUGGCAGAGAAAAUUUGUAGAUGGGUGAAAUCCUGGGCCUACACAGUGACAAAGUGUAUAUAGACAGCCAGCCUAGUUGGUGGAUGUGACAACCCCAGACUCUUCUAGAUUUGUGGAUCCGUGCACCUGCCAGACCUGUCUCUGAGCCAUCUGGGGAGGCUGGGUCGGCACAGACGCAACCCAGUCUCCUCCCACCUCCGAGAGUGCAGUGUCCUGAAUGGAGAACCCCAGCACCCAGAAGCAUCCACUGAAGGACGUGUGUCCUGGAACCCUGGCUGCACCCACAGAUACAGCCACUCCUGGGCCCAUGUGGAUGUAACCUUCGAGUGCCGGAAUGCCUCGUCUCCAUGGAGACCAAACUCAAGGGCCUGACUGGCCCAGUCUACCGAGACCAUGAGACCUGCUGUGCCCCUCGGCCAGGCCAACCCAAAUUCUUUUAAAUAAAAGGCACAAGCCACAGCCACACCAGCAGGAAGUGGAUACAGGAUAAGGGGCAGGGCUCACAUCUCAUCCUCAUCAGCCUUUGACCAGGCGACGGAGUCUGUGAUAGCUAGCUUAUCUGCUCUAUGCUCCAGGGACCUGGCCGGAACGAGCCGAGUUGCUGUCCUCAUGGAACUCUCAUCCUAGUGGGGCAGAGACAAGGACGGUGUAACGUGCCCGGGGGUCAGCACCACAGACAAAACGCAGGGAGCACGGCACAGUGUGGGCCAGGGAAGGCCUGGCUUCCCAAGGGUGUGGGCGCGAGCAGCAUGGCUGUGGGGAGUUCUAGGUGCAGAGAACUACUCCAGAGACGAAGCCAGGCCUGCGAGGAGGCCGGAGCGCAUGAGGGGAAGGCACGAGGCAAGGCUGCCAGGGCUGUGCUGGUGGUGCGGGACGGUCCUGUGGGGGUAGCUGCGGAGAUGGCACUGAUGCCUUCGGCUCCAGCAGCAUCCUGGGCUGGUGCGGGCCAAUAAGGGGCAGGGUUGGGGCAGGAUGAAAGGCACAAGCCACAGCCAUGUCAAGCAGGAAGUGGAUGCAGGGUACAGCCUGUCAGGGUCAGGGUGAAAGGCAGGGAGGCGGGUAGGCCAUAGGUGAAUUUGGAGCAGCCUGUAGAGGACAGGAUGUGCCAUCAAAGACUUGUUCUUGGGUCCAGCUGAGACUGUCCCUUGGGGCUUCCUGUCACCUUGUGCAGGAUAGUGAGACCAUCCUUGGAAAACCCAUCGGGACUGCAGAGCGCGGCUCAGAGCUGACUGUCCAGGCCUGGCAGGGGCUGACCCCUGGGCGCUGGUGCACCCUCCGUGCGGCCUCUUGGAGGAAGCACACAAGGCGACAGUUCCCAGCUGCCGCCUGAGAUGCAGCAUCUGCUUUACUCCAGCCCAGCACUGCUCACCGUCACUGCCCACUCUUAUGAUUUUACUUCCCUUCAUAUUUGUGAUUUUGCAAAGAUGGUGUUGACUUACAGCUGCAGCAUCAAAUGACUGACUGCCACCAGCUUGGCCCCAGCUCAGGGACAUGUCUGAGCCCAGGCAGAGCACCCUAGUGGCCGGGAAGCCUCACCUGGAGCUCCUGCGGGUGGCUGCAGUCCGCCAGGUGAUCCGUGAGGAGGGCUUGGAGAGGCCCCAUGAUGGCGUGGAAGGAUGGCAGGGACCCGUACAUGAGCACGCAGCGCUUCAGCAGGGCCAGGCCCACAGCCAGGCAGGACAGUCUGUGAGGGCAGGAGGCAAGAGGAGGUCCAACUUGUUCUGUUUGUCACUGACAAAACCAAUAACGUGGCAAAAAUGAACUUCCCCACUUCCACUAGGCUGAAAACUCCAGUGUGGCCACCUUGGCCGGCCAGGGUUGGGCCCAUGCAACCACGGGCAAGGCAGGCUCAGGGUCAGGCCUAACGCAGGAGGGGAGGCUGUGGGAACCGCAGCGCCAGCUGGGAUGGGGCGGCUCCAUUUUUGGUUCCAAAUUAUGAUUUGUGAAAUCAAGCAAAUGUAUUUUGAAAAUGAAAAGAAAAAGGGACAGCAAGCCAACAUGCCUCAGAAAGGCUUUCGGCCUCCAUCAAACCAAACGGCCGGGCGGCAAGUUCACUAAGAACAGCACAUCAGAAAGCACGAGUGGCUUCUCCUGCCUCUGGGGACGCUGUAGGGCACAGGCCCCAAAGCGGGGUCCCCUCACAUACCGGAUGUGAUUGGCCUCUGUCGAAGUUGGGGCCCUCAGUCUACUCGCCCAGCGGAGGGAGAGGCUGCUCUGCUGCCACGUGGCCACAUCCUCUCUAGCAGACACCACGAGCAGUUCCGAGUUCUUCCCAAGCGCUCUGAAAGGGUGCACCAGAGUGGAACCUGAAUUCCAAGUGCGACAGGACAGAGAUGGCCUGAACAUUACUGGGCUCCCAGCAGGCUCUGCGGCACCGAGCCUGUGGAAGUUCACCCUCUAACAGACGCACACCGAUUUUUAUGUUUCUGGGUUGUGCCAGACACUGAGGGUUUCAGCGUGGGCAGGGACACCUCAGGGGAGGGGAAAAGCUUUGGCAGGGGGCGCGGUGAGAGCCAAGUGCCUGAUCCUGCCUGAGAGGCCUGCUGGCCACAGACUUCCUGGGGCCUACUAGGCACACAUGGGGCUGAUGAGGCGCUCAGGCCACAUCCGGGAACAGACUGAAGUCCCUGCCCCUGUCGGGGAGACAGGCAGUGCACAGCACCCAGAGGAGCAAAUGGACCAGACAGAACACGAGAAAGGAAAGUGGAGGGGCAGGAGGGAGACAGGAGAGUCAGUCGGGGGUGACGGUGGAGGGCGGGAGAGGCCUGAGGGGCAGACGUCAGCAAAGGCCUGUAGGACGCAGGAGUCAAUUCACUCGCCACGGAGAAGGGCAAUCCAGGCCGAGGGUGUGGCUACACGGGGAGGGGUGGAGAGUGGGUACAGUGGGGCAGAGGUGCCGGGCCAAGCGAGAGGGGAAGGCGUGGGUCAGGCCCCGCCCCACACUUCCCCAAAGCCGAGAUGCCCACCCCUUCCUUGACUCCACCUGUGCCCAGCCUGUUCCGUCACAGCCCUUCACACGUGGGACUGCAGCUAUCUACAGGUGGCUCUCCCGGAGGCAGGGAGCAUGUGGGCGGCCGCGCCCCUCUGGCGCCCAGCACCGAGCCUGACAGACAGGAGCCUUGGGAGGCAGGUGGUGGCAGAAUGGGAGCACUGAACCGGAAGAGUGGGCCAGACCCCUCUUGGAAGGGACUCUGCUGGUGGUGUGAAUGAUGCCACAGCACCUGCUCCUCAGGUCAGUCCCCUGGACAUGCAGGCGCUUAGCACUGCACGGUGAGCUGGAAAUAGAGGACAGGGGUCUGAGCCUUGAGGUCCAACCUCUGGUCAGGCUGGGAGAGGCGUCCACAGACAUGGAAGAGCUCAGGAAGAGGCUGUGCAGCUCCUCACCCCCCAGAGGGAAGCAGCAAGUGCUGAGGAAGCAUCCAGGAGCAGGGCUGGCAUCAGGGGAAGGGGGAGGAGCACAGGGGCUGGGGUGAGGGCCCAGGAGGGCAGCCAGUGUGCAGACUGCUCCUCAUCCCAACACUGCUCUUGCCGCCCUCGCUCCUGAAUUCAGAGCGUUAAGAGAAGCGACACAGCAGCGCGGCCUGUGUGAGCUGCACGAGAACUUUCACACUGCCUUGUCGUCACGUGAGAAAAAGUAAAAAGUUAAGAUUGAUUUUAACAAUAGACCUUAUCUAACCCCAAAUACCAAAAUAUUAUGAUUUUAACACAUAAUACAAAAAAUUAAGAUAUUUUAAGUAUUUCUGACACUAAGUCUUCGCCACUUGGGCAUAUGUCACAGGUAGGGUACGUCUCAGUUCAGACUCUGGCCCCUGGCAACCACGCUGGACAGCACAGGUCACCGGUAGCACUGCUUUUCCCCAUGUGGCGCGUGCACACGCUCACACAGAGGGACAGACAGUGCGGCGGGUGGCAGGUUGUGUGUUUCCUCUACUUUCGCAUAUUCUAAACUUUCUACAAUGAGUAUGAACUACUUAAAAAAAUUCUAAAGUAUAACAUAUUUGUAGGAACCUCCCUCAAAUCAACUCACCUUGGCUUGCUUUGUUUGGAGUUGCUAUGUAAAGAAUCCCAAGAAGAAAAUUAAUAAGCUCAGGUAUAAACCUCUGGGACAAAGCCACAUACUCCAGGAACAGGCAGCACACGAACAGGCCCUUCACCACGUCCUGGAGGGACAGGAUGGGGCACUGGAAAGGAACAUAUGGGGGGUUACUGUCCUGGGACGAUGUCAUGCCAUGCUAGGCCGACCACCGGGCUUCCCUGAUGAACCACGCACCCCACUGAGCUUCACAAGUACAGAGGGAACCCCCGCACCUUAUAGCAGUGUCGAGAGCAUCAAAUGAGAUGAAAACAAGAUAAAGAGCUUUAGUGAUUUUUUUUUCCCGAGACGGAGUUUCACUCUUACCACCCAGGCUGGAGUGCAAUGGCACAAUCUCGGCUCACUGCAACCUCCACCUCCCGGGUUCAAGUGAUUUUCCUGCCUCAGUCUCCCGAGUAGCUGGGAUUACAGGCAUGUGGCACCACACCCAGCUAAUUUUUGUAUUUUUAGUAGAGACGGGGUUUCGCCAUGUUGGCCACACUGGUCUUGAACUCCCGACCUCAGGUGAUCCGCCCGCCUCAGCCUCCGAAAGUGCUGGGAUUACAGGCGUGAGCCACCGCGCCUGGCCAGAGCUAUACUGAUUAUAAAGUUCCUUCCACCCAUACAGAGCGUACGAUUACUGCACUAAGCAUGUACCAAUCACAUGCCUAAUAAAGAAAAAGGAACAGCUUGAACUUUUUAAGCCAAAAAGGGAACAAAAGCCCUUAUCAUCACACUGGAUAACUUCACCACUAACUUGAAAGGUUGUUUUCUGGGGUAGCACCAUCUGUAACCUUGAGGUGCCAAACCAGGCCCUCCCACUCCCACCCACAUCUGGGGCUGCUCGAGCCGGGGCUCUUUUAGAUGGGCCCUCUUUGGCCUAACCGCAGUGCUCGGUCUCUGCAGCCCUUAAACAGCCACACUCAUGUUCCACAAGGCCCCGAGGGGCUGUGGCUCCGGCCACCCGUGGUGCAGCAGGCCGACCCCUGCCGCAUGUGGAGAGAACGCACCUUGGUGAGCAGCUGACUGAGGCACACGAGGGCAGGGGUCACCACUGGGUGCCAGAAGUCGGAAGUUGGAAAUAGCAGCCCAGUGAUUUUCAAAUAAAUGAGCUGGAAAGAAAGUGUUACCACAGGUUAAAGAAGGUAAAUGAAGUCCAUCCAUAUGCCCUCCCCGCAAACACUCCGGAGCCAAGAACAGGAUCUGGCGAGGAGAGGGUGCAUCUCCUUGGCCCAGAGCUCUGGCCUCAGUGUCACAGAACAGGCGUCCAACCACCGUGGGUCAACCAGCUAAACGUGCAGUGAGGACACUGAGGCCCAUGAAGACUUCAAAGCAGUCAACAAUGGUUAUAGACACGGGCUCAGAUCAUGUUUUGGGGAGUUGAUUAAAAAUCACUAACC
rnacentral:lncRNA from 1 species